GAUGAACGCUGGCGGCGUGCUUAAUACAUGCAAGUCGAGCGAACGGACGAGACGCUUGCUGCUCUGAUGUUAGCGGAGGACGGGUGAGUAACACGUGGAUAACCUCCCUAUCAGACUGGGAUAAUUUCGGGAAACCGGCGCUAAUACCGGAUAAUCUUUUGAACCACAUGGUGCAAAAGUAAAAGACGGUCUUGCGGUCACUUAUAGAUGGAUCCGCGCUGCAUUAGCUAGUUGGUAAGGUAAAGGGUUACCAAGGCAACUAGGCGUAGCCGACCUGUGAGGGUGGUAGGCCGCACUGGAACUGGGCCACGGUCCAGACGCCUACGGGACGCACCAGUAGGGAAUCUUCCGCAAUGGGCGAAAGCCUGACGGAGCAACGCCGCGUGAGUUAUGAAGGUCUCCGGAUCGUAAAACUGUGCUAUUAGUGAAGAACAUAUGUGUAAGUUGCUGUGCACAUCUUGACGGUACCUGGUCAGAAAGCCCCGGCUAACUACGUG
rnacentral:rRNA from 1 species